AGAAGGAAAUGGCAACCCAUUCCAGUAUUCUUGUCUGAAGAAUCCCAUGGACAGGAGCCUGGUGAAUACCUAGAAGUGCUGAGUGUAACUCCAUAUCUAACUGCAUGGGAAAGUUUUAACAAGCACAUCCCUUUGCACUCCUGCCAGCUAAGCAUGAGAGUUCCAGUUGCUCCACAUCCUC